rnacentral:rRNA from 1 species
UACGUAGGGUGCAAGCGUUGUCCGGAAUUACUGGGCGUAAAGAGCUCGUAGGUGGUUUGUCGCGUUGUUCGUGAAAUCUCACGGCUUAACUGUGAGCGUGCGGGCGAUACGGGCAGACUAGAGUACUGCAGGGGAGACGUGAAUUCCUGGUGUAGCGGUGGAAUGCGCAGAUAUCAGGAAGAACACCCGUGCUAAGGCGGCUCUCUAGUACGGUACUGACGCUGAGACGCGAAAGCGUGGGGAGCGAACAGG